AAGGCAGGACGAUCCAUCGCGGCAGAAAUGCUGAGGAAAGUCCGGACAGGACAGGGCACCCCGCUGCGGAAAGCGCAGGAGGGAGUAAUCUUUCGCCAGCCGUAACAGAAAACAACCGGAGCUUCGGCUCCAAGGGUGAAAACGCGAGGCAAGAGCUCACGACGCCGCUGCAGCGAUGCACGACGGGUACGGCACCGGGGCCUGCAAAACCAAAUAUACCGGCAGAUGAGGACGGCCCGCCCGAUGCCGGGGGGUAGGUUGCGCAGAUAAAUGAUGGAUUCAAAAACAGAAACCGGCUUACGGCCCUGCCUUAUUU
rnacentral:RNase_P_RNA from 1 species